GGUAGCCUAGAUAGAUUUAAAUAGUGGAGUAGGGUGGUGAAUGUAGGGUUAAAAUGGUAGGGUAUUUGGUGAUUUGUUUUUAUUUUGAAUUUACAAGCAAAGUAUAAGGGAGUUAUACUCCAGUCUCGUAGGUGGCGGUAAUGGAACAUUUAUUGGAUGCCAACUGCCGUUAAACCUCGUCGAAGAAGAACAAGAAGUUUAGUAUUUUCCGGUGUCGUGUCAGCGUGCUGAAUUUAUCUCGUGGUUUCAAUGGAACUGUGAAAACGUUUGUAUUUAUCUCUUUUGAACAACGAUGUGAGUCUAGAUAACCAGACGAGAUAAAGGUCUUGGUCGGCAGAAGAAUUGUAUGUGAUGCUAUCAUAGUGAAUGUGGCAAGGGAGGGGUGGGACAUCUUCUAGACUGGAAGUGGAAUUUGGAGAGAAUGGUGUGCAGGUGAGGAAGUUGGUUGAGGAGGAAGAGGAAGGAAUGAUUUCCAACCAGCAGCCAAUGAAAGCCAUGCUGGGAAGAGAAACUUUAUGGAUGCUUUGUGAAGCUACAGAUAAACAAAUCUAACUGGAAUACACUUCCAUAUCUGUGCCAAUGAGCUCUCUUGAUUAGUACAGAAAUAUACUGCACUUAGGCUAAUGAUAUGGACUGGAACGGUUGUAUUUAUCUUCCUCCUAGUCUGCCACCCUCCUGGCAGGACUGGAGCAGCCAGAGUAGAAGUCUUCCAGUACAGAUGACGGCAGCAGCUCUGACGAUGAGGACCAGAGACUGGAACUCUCCAGCACCACCAAGCUUGUGGAGGACGCACCGCUCACAAAGGAGCCAGAUAUGGCCUUACCAUGAGUGCCAAGCUAGCCAGACUGGAGCAGCAGGAGCAAGAGUUCAUGGCAAAGUAUGGCAAGAAAAACCAACUAACGGCUG